GAGUUUGAUCAUGGCUCAGGAUGAACGCCGGCGGUGUGCCUAAUACAUGCAAGUCGUACGCACUGGCCCAACUGAUUGAUGGUGCUUGCACCUGAUUGACGAUGGAUCACCAGUGAGUGGCGGACGGGUGAGUAACACGUAGGUAACCUGCCCCGGAGCGGGGGAUAACAUUUGGAAACAGAUGCUAAUACCGCAUAACAACAAAAGCCACAUGGCUUUUGUUUGAAAGAUGGCUUUGGCUAUCACUCUGGGAUGGACCUGCGGUGCAUUAGCUAGUUGGUAAGGUAACGGCUUACCAAGGCGAUGAUGCAUAGCCGAGUUGAGAGACUGAUCGGCCACAAUGGAACUGAGACACGGUCCAUACUCCUACGGGAGGCAGCAGUAGGGAAUCUUCCACAAUGGGCGCAAGCCUGAUGGAGCAACACCGCGUGAGUGAAGAAGGGUUUCGGCUCGUAAAGCUCUGUUGUUGGAGAAGAACGUGCGUGAGAGUAACUGUUCACGCAGUGACGGUAUCCAACCAGAAAGUCACGGCUAACUACGUGCCAGCAGCCGCGGUAAUACGUAGGUGGCAAGCGUUAUCCGGAUUUAUUGGGCGUAAAGCGAGCGCAGGCGGUUGCUUAGGUCUGAUGUGAAAGCCUUCGGCUUAACCGAAGAAGUGCAUCGGAAACCGGGCGACUUGAGUGCAGAAGAGGACAGUGGAACUCCAUGUGUAGCGGUGGAAUGCGUAGAUAUAUGGAAGAACACCAGUGGCGAAGGCGGCUGUCUGGUCUGCAACUGACGCUGAGGCUCGAAAGCAUGGGUAGCGAACAGGAUUAGAUACCCUGGUAGUCCAUGCCGUAAACGAUGAGUGCUAGGUGUUGGAGGGUUUCCGCCCUUCAGUGCCGGAGCUAACGCAUUAAGCACUCCGCCUGGGGAGUACGACCGCAAGGUUGAAACUCAAAGGAAUUGACGG
rnacentral:rRNA from 1 species